CCCUUAGAUGUCCUGGGCCGCACGCGUGCUACACUGAUGCAUACAGCGAGUACUUUCCAGCUCCGCGAGGCAGCUGGUAAUCAGCAAUAUGCAUCGUGCUGGGGAUAGAUCUUUGGAAUUAUAGAUCUUGAACGAGGAAUUCCUAGUAAGCGCAAGUUAUUAGCUUGCGCUGAUUAAGUCCCUGCCCUUUGUACACACCGCCCGUCGCUCCUACCGAUUUCGAGUGAUUCGGUGAACCUUUUGGACAGCGUCUGUCCUCGUGUCAGAUGCUGAAAGUCAAGUAAACCAUAUCACUUAGAGGAAGGAGAAGUCGUAACA
rnacentral:rRNA from 1 species